AUCAGUCACACCAACCUUUCAUUACACUGUGUUUUCUGCCGACUUGAGAUACGCUUCCGCCUCAAUGAUUCCCCUUUCAUUCAUUCAUUCGUUCUUUUCAAAGAUCCGCCUCCUUCAGGCACUUUAAUCUUAUCAUUAACGGUGAGUGAAGAUCCAAUAGAAUAGCUUGGAUUCGUCAACAAGGGUUAAAAAUAUCAUCAACGGCGAUAUUGGAAGUGAAGAUCCGAUAGAAUAAAGGUCAAAUGACAUAUGCAAGGAAUCGAAGAGGCAAACAAUUAACGCUGAAGACGUAUUCAAGGCCCUUGAAGAUAUCGAGUUUCCAGAAUUCAUUGCACCACUAAGAGCCUAUCGAUUUGGACCACUAAAAAGUCGUGCUGCCAAGGCGAUCGGUUUUAUUUUUAUUGAUGUGAUGAUUGAUUAUUCGUUAGAGAAUGCACCACUACAAAAAGAAUUAUCAGCAGAGGAAGUGGGAAUUGUUGCUGCUUUUCAAAUAAAGUUGUUUUGACCCGCGUAUAUAAGCAUCUAAAAAACCAAGGUGGUGGUCAGUCGGUUGCCUCUGAGUAGUCAAAAAAUUGAGGACUUCACCAAUAGAGAAACUUCCUAGGUUGUCAACAUCGGCACAUCAUGAUCUACCUUAUAAGAGAAAGAAUACUAGAAGCGGGUGUAGGGCAUUUAAAACCUCUAUGGUCACCAAAGUGGGCUUUCUUUUUUUUCUUUUUUCUUUUUUUUUUUUUUUUUUUGCAGAUUUGCUAGCUCUCAUUGAGGUUCUUACCAUCUAUUAUCCAAAUAAUCUUGUGGGGAUCACACAAAUUACUCAAGUUUUUCAAGAUACUGACAUUGGUUAAUCAAGAUAAUGACAAAACUGCACUUCAGCCUUGUGAAAGACUUAUAAAUAUAAUUUAGGCGAUAUUGAAUCUCAACUUAUGGCCCGACUUUUGAUUUGAUCAUAAUAUUAAUGAUGCUUAAUCCGCUAAUUCGCAAUUACCGGAUUUGUGAAGACAAUUGCUUCUUUGAAGAAAGGUGCAUAUAUUUUGAAGUACGAUUGAAGAGGAUAGCCUAAACUUUGUCCUUUCAGGUACAAAAACUUUGAUCUGAUUUUCGGUCAAGCAUCAAUGUGGUCAUUGGACAAUAAGUGCGAAGAAAACGAACAAAAAAACAUUCUUUCUUCAUGUUUUUUGAUAAACUUGGUAGCUUAUAACUGUUGUUUGUUACUACAUUGCACCACAAAUGUUAGUUGAACUGUAGCAAUGGUUCAAAAAGACUACAAGUGCAGUGCACCACAUGGUGGUUAUGUUGAGAAAUUUUCAUAUAUUGUCAUAAAAGAUUUCUAUUUUUUUGGUUGUA